AUUGAACGCUGGCGGCAGGCUUAACACAUGCAAGUCGAGCGGGGGAAGGUAGCUUGCUACCGGACCUAGCGGCGGACGGGUGAGUAAUGCUUAGGAAUCUGCCUAUUAGUGGGGGACAACAUCUCGAAAGGGAUGCUAAUACCGCAUACGUCCUACGGGAGAAAGCAGGGGAUCUUCGGACCUUGCGCUAAUAGAUGAGCCUAAGUCGGAUUAGCUAGUUGGUGGGGUAAAGGCCUACCAAGGCGACGAUCUGUAGCGGGGCUGAGAGGAUGAUCCGCCACACUGGGACUGAGACACGGCCCAGAGUCCUACGGGAGGCAGCAGUGGGGAAUAUUGGACAAUGGGGGGAACCCUGAACCAGCCAUGCCGCGUGUGUGAAGAAGGCCUUAUGGUUGUAAAGCACUUUAAGCGAGGAGGAGGCUACUCUAGUUAAUACCUAGGGAUAGUGGACGUUACUCGCAGAAUAAGCACCGGCUAACUCUGUGCCAGCCGCCGCGGUAA
rnacentral:rRNA from 1 species